rnacentral:rRNA from 1 species
AUUGAACGCUGGCGGCAGGCCUAACACAUGCAAGUCGAACGAGUGGCGGACGGGUGAGUAAUGUCUGGGAAACUGCCUGAUGGAGGGGGAUAACUACUGGAAACGGUAGCUAAUACCGCAUACCAUCGGAUGUGCCCAGAUGGGAUUAGCUAGUGGGUGGGGUAAAAGAUCACCUAGGCGACGAUCCCUAGCUGGUCUGAGAGGAUGACCAGCCACACUGGACCGGCUGCACGGUCCAGACUCCUACGGGAGGCAGCAGUGGGGAAUAUUGCACAUUGGGCGCAAGCCUGAUGCAGCCAUGCCGCGUGUAUGAAGAAGUCCUUCGGGUUGUAAAGUACUUUCAGCGGUGAGGCGUUACCCGCAGAAGAAGCCCCGGCUAACUCCGUGCCAGCAGCCGCGGUAAUUC